rnacentral:rRNA from 1 species
GACGAACGCUGGCGGCGUGCCUAACACAUGCAAGUCGAACGGAACUGUUUUGAAAGAUUUCUUCGGAAUGAAUUUGAUUUAGUUUAGUGGCGGACGGGUGAGUAACGCGUGAGUAACCUGCCUUCAAGAGGGGAAUAACAUUCUGAAAAGAAUGCUAAUACCGCAUGACAUAUCGGAACCACAUGGUUUUGAUAUCAAAGAUUUUAUCGCUUGAAGAUGGACUCGCGUCCGAUUAGUUAGUUGGUGAGGUAACGGCUCACCAAGACCGCGAUCGGUAGCCGGACGGAGAGGCUGAACGGCCACAUUGGGACUGAGACACGGCCCAGACUCCUACGGGAGGCAGCAGUGGGGGAUAUUGCGCAAUGGGGGCAACCCUGACGCAGCAACGGCGCGUGAAGGAUGAAGGUUUUCGGAGUGUAAACUUCUUUUAUUAAGGACGAAAAAUGACGGUACUUAAUGAAUAAGCUCCGGCUAACUACGUG